rnacentral:rRNA from 1 species
GUCUCCUAAAGGAACGUUUAAGACUAAGACGUUGAUAGGCUGGGUGUGUAAGCGUAGCGAUACGUUGAGCUAACCAGUACUAAUGAUCCGUGAGGCUUAACCUU